rnacentral:rRNA from 1 species
ACACGUCUACAUUAGAUACCCGGGUAGUCCCAGCCGUAAACUAUGCGCGUUAGGUGUAUCGGUGACCACGAGUUACCGAGGUGCCGAAGGGAAACCGUGAAACGUGCCGCCUGGGAAGUACGGUCGCAAGGCUGAAACUUAAAGGAAUUGGCGGGGAGCACCACAACAGGUGGAGCCUGCGGUUUAAUUGGACUCAACGCCGGGAAGCUCACCGGAUAGGACAGCAGAAUGAUUGCCGGGCUGAAGACCCUGCAUGACUAGCUG